GUGCUCAAUUCGGCAGCACAUAUACUAAAAUUGGAACGAUACAGAGAAGAUUAGCAUGACUCCUAUGCAAGGAUCAUACGCAAAUUCGUGAAGCAUACCAUGUUUUU